UGUAAUGGUCGCAAGCCAAACAAAAAAAAUAAGGGUAAAUAAAAAUAACGAAAGAAAUAGUUCAAAAAGUACGCGCGCUUGCAAAAGCUUUGAAAAGGUACAGCGAACCUUUUUCAGUGCUUGCAGCGCUGCAUUGAGAGCUUUCGGUGGGUGCCGAAAAGUUGUCGCGCACGCGCAACAGCUGAUCUUGUCGCGCUGUGCGAAUUCUGCAGCGACAAAUAUUAGUGCAGCCAACUUUAGGGGCAAUAAAACCUGUAAGCUUUUAUCUACCCAAAGCUAUAUAAGCCGAAAAAGUGCAAAAUUGAGCCCUUUUUCUAGAACUCCACGUUGCGACUUUACACUAAAUCCAUAUAUAUAUAUGUAUAUAAUAUAUAUACAUAUAUGGUGAGGAACUCGUGCGCUGCAAUAAUUAAUAAAGCGCAGCAACAAAUUUUCUUGACGCCCGUGUCAAAUUUGGGCACGGCAAUAUAGAAAAAGCCUGCCCUAGACACGGGCUCUGUUUUAAUUUUUUUGGCCCAUCAAGAUCGAUCGCAGCAACUUUAUCGAAAGGCUGGAGGAACUUCAACAGCAGGCGGGGG